rnacentral:rRNA from 1 species
GAUGAACGCUAGCGAUAGGCCUAACACAUGCAAGUCGAGGGGCAGCAUAGAGUAGCAAUACUUUGAUGGCGACCGGCGCACGGGUGAGUAACACGUAUGCAACCUAUCUACAUCAGGGGAAUAACCCGGAGAAAUUCGGACUAAUACCGCAUAAUACAGGGAUGCCGCAUGGCAAUAUUGGUUAAAGAAUUAUCGGAUGUAGAUGGGCAUGCGUUCCAUUAGCUAGUGGGUGAGGUAACGGCUCACCAAGGCAACGAUGGAUAGGGGAACUGAUGGGUUUAGCACCCACACUGGAACUGAGACACGAACCAGAGUCCAACGGUAGGGCGCAGUGUGGAAUAUUGGUGAAUGGACGAGAGUAUGAACCAGCCAAAUCGCGUGCAGGAAGGCUACCCUACGGGUUGUAAACUGCUUUUGUACAAGAAUAAAAGACAUUACGUGUAAUGUAUUGCAUGUACUGUACGAAUAAGCAUCGGCUAACUCCGUGCCAGCCGCCGCAGUAA